rnacentral:lncRNA from 1 species
UCUGGUGGCAGCAGCAGCUGGUUGGGUUAUGAUUUUGGUGCAAGUAAUAAGUGCUGCGAGAGAAGACAAGGAAGGUGAAGGAAUUCAGAAGAGAAUGAAGAAAGGAUCUACUGUUGGCUGGUACAAAUUUCUCAAAGAAUGAAACCGCAAAAUUCUGAAUUACAAAAAUCUGUAAGAACAGAACCUGCAAUUCUGUAAGUCUGUUAGACUCUGAUGUUGGAUGGUAAAUCAGCAUCCAACCCUCUUCGUAUAACU